UUGCACCAAAUUACAGUUCAAAAGCUUCCACCAAUUCCAAACAAGAGCAAAUGAAAGACAGCGUACGGCCUAACCAUCAAAAUUUCUAUUUUGCACGGGUGGCAUCUGCUUAGGAUUAGGAAAGAACAGCCAUCACGUCGGAUGCCUUGAGCACGAUGUACUCGCCGUCCUGACCCUUGAACUCGCUUCCGGCGUACUUGCUGUACAUCACGUUGCUUCCAGGAGUGAUCGACAGGGCCUUCCUUGUGCCGUCCUCGCCCAACGGCCCAGGGCCAACAGCUACCACCUGUGUUCACCGCAUAUUAGAGACAUGACUACACGAGGAUUGGGCUGGAUGCUAUAAGAAGAAUGUCAGGACUAAACUAAUCGAAUGUCAUAUAUCCGGUGCAUGUGUGGAAUGCAGGAGGAUGGAACAUAAUUUUGUGUGAUUCAACUUGUUCAUGUCUGGUGAGGUGGUCAAUCUUUUGCUACUCUUAGGCAGCUGCACCUUCCGCACUAAAGGGUACAAAUUGCGCUUUGAUGUUUGUUUUUCUCCUGGAAGCUGAUUACCGAUGGUAUUUACUAUUUAGAUAUUUUAGUAAUUACCAUCUUCAAACAUUUGUAGCAAAUCACAAAGCAGAAGAUAAAGCAGAAGAUAAACUAAUUACUGGUCAAAAAAUGCAUCCUAAAAGCUGACAGCCGAUGGAAUUUACUAUUUAGUCAUUUUAGUAGUUUGCCAUCUUCAAACUUGGUGGCAAACCACAAAAGUAGAAGAUAACUAAAGAGUAUUAAUUACUGGCCAAAUAUUGCAGCAUUUCUUCAACACAAUUCUGUUCUCUUCCCCUUCCCUUACAGCUUGUAAGAAUGAUUAAAUUAUUGAUUCACCCUUGAUAGUUAUUAGCUAGUGAUGCAAAAAAAGAUUCAAAAAAAUUGCUGCAUACUAACUAAAAAUUUAGAGAAAAUUUUUUGGAAUGAGACAUCUGUUGUACCGCACUACCGCUAACAUGUGCAUAAAUCGGAUAUAUAAACAAUCAUAUUAAGCAGAAAUCGAAUAAAUCAUGGAAAAUGCUGCAUACUAACUAAAAUACUCACUGUUCCAACAGAAGGUUUCUCUUUAUUCGCCUGCGUCAAUAGCAAACCACCAGCAGUUUGUUCUUCAGCUUCAGCAACCUGGUAUGAAAGGAGCAUAAAAGAAUCAGUAAGUUCAUACUCAAACAGAACAGAGCAUAGCUGUUUCUUAGCAUGCACUAAAAUGCAGAUUUCCUCUUGGUUAGACGGAAUGUACUGAGUUGUUGUCUGAUUUGAAUCUUUGAAAAUAAACCACAAUGAAACACGAUAUACAUUGUCGAAUCUUUAAAGGAGAAAGUGCUGCUGCAGAGGCUGGGAUAGUAGCAUAGUAUUAUUCUAUUCUCUUAAAAAGAAGAAGUUGAAAGAAAGUGUCAUAAAACCACUCCACAAUGCAUGCAUUAAAGAUGGAUAACCUUAGGCUAGACAGCUGGAGUGCUGGACAUGGUGUAAAUGCAAGACACAAGUGCCAUGAAGACUGGCUCAGAAUGGGACAGUGGUGGUCUGAGUCAAGCUAAAGCUUCCUGGAGGUAUGGAAGACACAAAAUGGAGUUUCUCAAACAAGCUUUGCUUCUAUUGUCCGACAGAGCGUGUGAGGAUAUAUCGUGAAUAAACAGAGCAUCUGCUCAAGACAUCAUAGAGCUUUUGUGACUUUUGUUCGAUGCCUAACUCUCUCUGAGUUCUUGGUGCACGAAUACUUUAUAUUUUAUGGUUUACUCUGCUGAAAAUGGUGCAAAUACAAUUUUCUAAACUUGGCAUAAGAAGUUACUAGAGAUGUAGCCUUUCAUAUAUGGCAUAUACAAUUAUGCAGCUGUGUGUAAAGUUACCAAACAAAUUGUGGUGUAAGACAAGAUUUAUUUAAAAUAGCGUCAGCAGAAUAAUUGUACACUGGCCAAUGAAUCUGGAUAGUGUCACAAUAUUAAUAUUCCUGGCAAACAUACCUUAAUCAGAAUACGAUCAUUCAGCGGCUUCAGAUCUUUCACAUCAUCACUGUCGAGAAUACCAAUGAUGUCAUCUUCUUUCAAAAUGAGAUGGUCGGCGUCAUUGAAUUCCAAUUCCGUGCCGGCGUAUUUCGAGUAGACAACUUGUGCACCAACCUGUACCAGAUUAUAAUUAUCACUGUCAAAUUACUCAAUUAAUUAACAUAGGACAGUACAUCAAACAUGGUACUAGUGAUGAGGCCACAAGGAAAAUUUUCUUCAAGAACUAAAAGCUCGACCCUUGAAGAAGAUUGGAUACAGCCAAAAAAUCUCUCAGCAUACAAGACCUACAGUCAGGGGCGGAGCUGGGCUAGGCCCACGCCUAGCGCCAUUCAGUGGAGAUGAUGUUCUAGGGCCUCUUAUAGCUACAGUACUAUGCAAUGGAGAAUUCAGCCCAACGCCUAGGGCCAUGGCCCUAGUGGCCCUAGGCGUUCCUCCGCCACUGCCUACAGUUACUUUCUUAUCAUUUUACCAUGGAUGGCAGUGCAGCAGUAAUAGCACUUUUAGGUCAUUGCUUAUCUUUCAUUUGCCAAAUCUGCUGUAGCUUUCCCAACGCAUUUUGGAUUUUUCUAUUUGCAACAUGUAUAGAAGUACAGACAUGUCUGCCAACACAAAGAAAUCUUAGUUGUGCAGUAGUACAUACCGGAACGCUGAUCUCGAUGCUGUUACUUCCAAAACUUCUCCCCUCUCCAACAGCAACAACUUCCCCUCCUGUUGGUCUUGACUGAACUGAUACUGGAAGUAAAAUCCCUCCAUCAGUUUUAGCCUCGGUGGUCUUGACCUUCACAAGUACUCUGUCUCCUAAUGGUUUUACGGAAGUAUACUGCAAAUUGCACGCACGUAUAUGAACACAAAUGCAUACGUAAAACAAGAAUUGCACAAUAUAAUCUAAGAACUUAAAUCUGUCACAAGUUUAGGUGUGUGUCGGUUCAGGGUUGAAGUGGGAAAAUGUUGCUACUGAGCAAUAGCGGUUGAACCUCGGACGCUUGAAUCUUCUACCCAGAAAUGGCUGUACCUUUUUUUUUUUGAGGAUAUGCAGAAGAGCUACCUAUCUUUGCAUUAGGUAGACAAUAAUAAUGUCUUUUUAUGUAUGCAGUUGAGCUGUGUAUAUUUUUUUAUGCAGAAGCACUGAGGUAGCCAAUAAUAAUGUCUUUUUAUGUAUGCAGAAGCGCUUGCCAAAAGUGUUCACUCACUCGUACUGGAUUAGAAUAGCAAAGAGACACAAAGAUGAAGAAGAGCUACAACACAAAGGGUGCGUUUGGCAGAGCUCCAAGAGCUGAUUCUCUGCUGAUUCCAGCAGCAGCUCUGCCAAACGGUUUUUCAAAGAGAAGUGAUUCUUUGCUGAUUCUGUGAAGUGAUUCUCUGAAAUGAACUAAAAGGCUGGGAGCUGAAACUGAAAAAAGUGGCUUCUCCUGAUUCUGUGAAGUGAUUAUCCAUCCUAAUUUUAAGAGUUUGUGCUAGAGAAUCAAAGAGAAUCACUUUCAGCCAUAGAAUCACUUCUCUUAGAGAAUCAGCUCCCGUAGAGAAUCAGAAUCAGAUGGAGCUCUACCAAACCCUAAGUUCUUGCUGAAGUAGGAGCUCGAUGGAACUGUGGAAAUGGUUGAUAUCAAGCACUAACACUGAUCCUAUUGAAACACCAAUCAGGCUUCAUUCUCUUGACAAUUGGAGAAAAACAUUUUUCCUCCUUUCUUUUCAGAGGAUUGUUCCUCGGUUCAGUACUAUAAUUCGUGCUCUAAGACAAGUUUAGUUGCGGCUUUGUGGUUUUAUUGCCUUGGUGAAUGACGACUAACUAGUAGUACCAUCUUGCUCCCCAAAGGAAAUUCAGUCUUCCUAGCAUUCAUCCUCUUUGAUUAAUUUGGAGAUUUCUCAGGCGAGCCAGCCCCACAUAACCAAACACAGCCCACGAAAAAAUGCGUCCUGCAACCCUACAGAACACCAACACGAGGGGCAGCAGCACGGCACACGGACAGAUAGCAAUCUAGCGCUUUGUUUGUUAUACCUUGGGUGACACGACGGUGGCGGCCCUCACCACGAGCCCCCGGGCCCUCCGCCCCGUCGGCACGGCAAUCGACGGCGUCGGCAGGCGGAGCCCGCCCAGCGCGGCCGGCUUCGCGGCCACCGCCACCCGCGGCCCAGUCAGGUGCAACGACGCCAUGGCUGCUGCUCCGAGGGCGGGGGUUGAGAAAGGCACGGAGACGGGGGUUGGGCUUAGGAUAAGGAGCUGUUAACUUGUUAUCUGCAAGCGCUCACUGUGGUAGUGUUGCUUUGGACUGCGUUUAGGGGGAGGAAGCCGCCGGAUUGUUCUAGAAGAUUUGGGGUGGUGGGGGAAGGUAUGGGAUGGAUCCAACGGUCGUGGCUAGGUGAGGUGGUCUGGCUGGCUGACAAGUAGGUGGUUUUGCCAUUUCGACCAACGUUUUUCUUUCCCAAUCAAUCAAGAGACAUAUGAUUAAAUAUUGUUAUGUUACGACCAGGUUGGUAAAACAACUUCUCCUUGCAAAAAUCCAAACUGACAAACACUCAAAAUCCUGGACAGACAAUUUGCCGCCCUCGUGCCAAUGAGAUGCGCUCACAGUUACACACUGAUGCGAGCUUACUCGCGUGACAAUCACAAUUCACAAGCUAUCUCCGCUGACAGGCGCAGCAGCUUCGCUGAGCUAUUUAUCAUCCAGCACCUCCAACGCGUCUUCGAACAAUCCCUGCACUGUCCACCGUGCAUCCUUGGUUUCCGCGUCAGAAAUCCGAGGAACCAGUUGGGUAAACCCUCGCAUUUUUCCUCCAUCAGUUCUGUAAUUGUUGAACGUUUAACUUCCCUUUCCUAUGAUCUCCAAACAGACAUUUGUAUCCAGCCGAAGGCAUUGGAGUAACGAAUUCCACUACUCGUUUAACAGCUGGGCAAGCAUAGCAUCUGCACUCUCAGGGCCGUCGUUGUUCACGCUAGGGAUUAUGUGCUCCGGUGAUAUGAACUUGACAAAUUCUUGCAGUUCCGUGAAGCUGCUGUGUUCACUGUACGGCACUUCAUAUCUGUAGAGACAACAAAACGGACAAUGAAACUUUCUAAACUGUUGCCUGGAUAAAUUUGUCUAAAAUGAUACACACAUUUGUGGUAAACAUAAAUUCAAGUGUUUUAGUAGAAAACCAUAUUUUUUUUGUUUUAACUACAAGGUGCCAAUGGUCGUAGUUGUUUAGCACAUUUGCUGACAGGGAAGUGAACAUCAUUUCUUAGAGCACGUCCAGGGCUAGAUUCACAAUUUUUUAAAAAAGAACAAAGAAAAUAGGAACACAUCCACAAUGCUACCUGAUGAUUGAUCCUUGUUGCCACCUUUUGCCAGGUGUCCUUUUCUUCCCUUUGCCAAAUGCCCAACCAGUCGGGCAGAAUGCCACUAUGAGGUCAAACCGGCCCUGAAAGUAAAGUAGCUAUCAAAAUUAGGAAUAUAGAACAUAGAACAGACUUACAAACAAACAAAAAGAUUUUAAAAAAAAUGCAGUGAGAUUGUUUCUUUCUGGAUGGCUACUGGUUGGAGUCUGGAACGACUAAGUUGGAACCUUUAGACAGUUCAUCUGAAUGGAAGGCUAAGUACAAUGAAGGGAAUAUAGAAAUUAUUAUCAGCCUGGGUAUCAUAGAGCAACUAUGAGCAUCCACAAUAUAUGGUUAAGAUCAGCUUUUAGUUUAUUUUUUUCUAAGUACCUAGCAACAUCUAUCUAUGAGCAUCAUGAACAGAUACUCAUCAGUCAAAACUUUCCUGUUGGUUGUGAUGUUGUCAGGUGAUUCCUUCAGGGAUUUAUGGUUUAGUCCGAUUUUGAACCAAAUCCUAGGGAUUUUGAUCAUCCCCCCUACCAAUCUUACAGAGUUUAGGAUAGAAUACUUGGCCUUACAGCAUAUUGAUUGGAUAAAUGUUUCAUCCGCUUGAAGCUCGCUAGAGUCCACAUGGGGACAACAUGUAUGUGACUUUCUGCUUCAUUGGCUGUAAACCAAUGCAUGAUUUCCUGAGGAAGCUCUAAGUGUUUCAAUAUUUGCAGCUUUGCAGCUCCAACAUAUAUUUUCUUCUGAAGCAAACGAGCAACCUCCAUAAACAGUCUUUCUUUCCCUGCAUGCAGGAAACUUUAUAGAUCAUGAUCCCUAACUCGGGGAAACACUGAACUGUCUCAAAAUAAAAAAGAUAAGAUAAGAUGAUACCAAUUGUGUAGCUACCAAUCAAAAACAAUGUUUUUGGGUUGAAAGCUUCUGCUUGGAUGGCCUCAAUGACGAACUGUAUCACAAUCUCUUGACUAGGGAAGUCAUACUGCAAAAUAAUUUUAUCCAUGGCAGAUUAACCGUGUCAAAAUUCAACUCUGAACUUUGCAAACACGUGAGUUUCUGAAAGACUAAAAAUACAUACUCGUGGAUUGCAAUAGGUUGUGUCCAGUAUUAGAGUGUGGAUAUGUGAAGACUGCAAAACAGGAUUGUUGACCAUCUUGGAAGAAAACCGGAAGUCUCCAGUGUGCAAAACAGCCUAAAGAACAAGUAAGUAAUGCAUCAAAUAGUUAUGCCAAAUAGAUGAGAAAGAAAAUCGGAACAACACUUACUUUACCAUUUGGAGGCUCAAAGAGAAUAAUAAUUGACCCAGGGCAAUGGUUGGCGUCAAAACAUGUCAAAUUAACUCCAGAAAUAGUAAUCCUUUUGUUUAGUGGCAAUACAUGCAAUUUAUCCCAUGGAAUACCAAUCUUAUGAUGCACGAGACUUGCGGUAAUUGAGGAACAGUAUAUCUUCCCAUGGCAAAAGCUUCUAGUCAGGCCUUGGUAGUCUGUUGAGGACAUACAAAUCUUUGUCAAGCACUGAACGUCAACAUGAGGUGCCUAGCAACAAUGAGAAAAGAAAUAUGUGCUGGCACAAAAGGUUACUUAAUAAUUCGGCAGAAACUCAGGCAACAAUCAAUAAAACUUGAACUUACGAUCUACAUGGAAGUGUGUGAGAAACCAGUGGCAACAGUCGCCUCUCAAGUAGCGAAAUGCAUCCUGCAGCAAGAUAGCUAGUUAUGGAACAUGCUGAUUGAUAUGUUAGACAAAUGUUCCUAUAGGCCUGUGGAGGGGAAAGCAUACCACUCGAAAAGGAGUUCCUGGGAUGCAACACCAAAGAGGUGUGUCUUUAACCUUUCCUUUACCAGCGCUAAUUCUUCUAGUGGGUACUUUAGCACUAGAUUUUUUCUGCUCGUUCAGAUUAGAUGACUUGUUGACUUUGCAGACCCUGCUUUGUCUUUGAUCAACGGACGAACAUUUAAAGUAUUCGGUAAUUAAUUUAUUCCCGUUCAUUGGAAGUUUAGUCUUCUUAGUAUCUUCUGAACUUAGCACACCAGCUUCCAUAUCAUUGGCAUCAUCAUCAUGUUUCUUCCGUAACUCUGCUAGAGCAUGGGUAAUUUUCUUUCUUGGUCCAAGAGCAGUGAUCCCCAUACCCAGUAGAUCCUGCAGUACAUUAGUUUUUUUUUUACUGAAAACAAGAAGUGACAUUAUGUCUCGUAUGACAACAGUGAACCAGUUCUCUCAAAAAAUCUUAAAUUUUUGUGGAGAACUGAACCCUAUACUCAUGCUUCAACAAGAUCAAAUCAGCAAAGCAUGAAAGUGAAUGCAACAUGAGAAAUAGACUCUGACAACUCUGGUUUACAAGAGGAGUAAUGGACUUAUGCUCUAAACUUGAACAAUAACCUCCAUCUGAACAAUACAACAGAAUGUACCUCUUCAGUGAACCAUUGCAAGGUUUCCCAGUCAACUUCUUCUUUGAUAAAAAUUUCCUCAUACUUGGAUAACCCAAGGUUUCUUAACCAUUCAAUAACACGUCUGAUUUCAACAUUUUCUCCAGCAGAGGGUUCUUUUUCAUGGUUGGGGCUAGAUUCCUGAAAAUCAGGUAAUUCAAGCAUAUGAAUAUCUAAAAAUAUGCAAUCUUACAUGUUGCAGAGAAAGAACAAUUAGGGAUGGCAUAAGAACUAUCUCAUGAUCCACACUCCACUAACUUCAUGUUAAGUUUUGUUGCUCAGCAACAGGCCAACAAGUAAUUGGAUAAUAAUACUAAUUUCUUUAUUGAUGAGAAGGGAUGGCAUAAGAACUAUCUCAUGAUCCACACUCCACUAACUUAUGUUAAGUUUUGUUGCUCAGCAACAGGCCAACAAGUAAUUGGAUAAUAAUACUAAUGUCUUUAUUGAUGAGAUUCAGUUAAUUAGUCCAAAUAAAAAGAGUUCAUUGCUUCAGUUGAGUUAUUUAUAAUUUGUUAUUGGGCUAAUAUGGUAGGAAAGCUUCUACAUCAUGCCACUAUUGCUGUUGCAAAUUGGAAUCCACAAUGAACACAUUUUCAGUAGAUGUAGAUUUAUUGCACCCAACUAAGCAGGCAAUGAUGUACAAAUUCAGCAAACAAACAUACUAACAAGACUAUCAAGCGGAGGAUGAACACAAGAACAGAAUCACCUUUGAGCUUCUAGAAAGAAAAGUGAACAACAAUUUAGCAUGAAUAUUUAAGGCACAUUAGCACAAGAGAAAACAUGAUUUGAGGAUAUAUCGAACAUAACCUUAGCAGGUUCAUCAAGACAAUUGUUAGUAUGCAGCUGCCGAAGCUCUUCGCUCAAAUCGGAUAUAUCCAAUCCACAUAGAGGGCAUUUCACUUGAUAGUCUGACUUGAACCUCUUGGAAUCAAAUGUAUUUUGUUCAAUGGGAGAUGUCCAGUUUGAGUGACCCUCUAUGGAAUCCUCCAUGCACAAGUUAAUUAGCUCAUUGAGCUGUGUCCCAAUCUCAAAAUUAUCAUAACCAUCAGCUUCAAAGUCAUGGAUCAUAUGUGAUUCUGGAAGAUUUGAUUCAGAUGGACUGGAGAAGCAAUGCCCCUCACAAGCCUCAGGACCAUUGGAUCUAUUCUCCAUAGCCUCAUUUUCAGGGGUUGCACAAUGUCCUGCAGCUACUUUCCCCUCUUGAGAAUCCAAGUUACAUGCUCGCAAACCAGGCUCUUGUGCUUUGCUGCAGUCACCACCUCUAGAAUCAUGAUUUGCAUUCGAUAUUGGAAGCUUUGACUGAAGAGAAUCGAAACAGUUAUUCCCUUUAUGAAGCCCAGCGCCACGUUCAAAUGCCACCCCAGCUUCUUUCUCCAUGUUCUUUUCAUCAGUGAGUGGGCCAAGAAUCCCUGAACCCAGCCCUUCAGAAUAAUAGGGACCUGCAGUUACAAAUUCACAGUUUGCAUCUGAUUCAAGAAUCUCCGGUUCAAUCAACCUGGAGUAGUGAUGCUCCUCAAGAGCUUCAGAGCUCCUCAGCUUCUUUUCCACUGUUGGCUGAUCACACUCAGAGCCUGCCACCUCGUCCGUAACGUGCCACUCUUGAGGAACAGGAAGUGACAUACUGGAGUCAACUGCUUGAACCUGCUCACAGCGCCCACUUCCCAGAUCACAUACCACACCGAGCGCCAAAACCCUCGAUUUCAACGAAUUGGGCAAGGAACUGGAACUCCCUUUGCAAUAUCCAUACACAUCCAAUCGUAACUUCCCUUUACGGCCUAAUUCGGAUACAUCAGAUCCAUACCUCGAGGGGCCGAAAAUUUCUCCGGCCAUUAGUUCCUUCGCCUCAGGAACGCCACCGCUAACCCUCGAACCGGCGGCUAGGGUUCCCGCACCCUUCGCGGCCGUCGCGGCGGCCGUCACCGCAGGAAUAGCGCCACCGUGGACGGAACCGUUCUCCUUCCCCGAGGAGGAGGAUGGCUUGAGCUUCUUACGGGGCCGGCGCGCGGCGGCGGCAUUGCAGGGAUUCAAUGGGCGGGAGCGGGGAGGUUGGAAGUCGUCGUCGUCGUCGCCGCCUAGGAAGGGAGGGGCUGUGGAUUUGGGGCGCGGAGUGGGUACGGCGGCCGGCGACGGCGAGUGUUUCGCCGAGAGCUUGCGAUUGCGAUUCGCCGUCAUCUGCGUCUCAAGCGGAUGGGUGGGGGAGUCUGGGAGAGGCGAGGUGGGUGGGGGAACUGGGAAUGUGAAGUGUAAUUUUUGGCCGAGGCGUUUUCAAAUAGGAACGGGAAAGGGCGCGCGUAAACACGAAAAUUUCUUUGGGCCUAGGAUUUUCAUGAAUCUCUAUGUUAAAGACGUAAUGGGUACAUGGUCAUAUGGGCUAGUUUUUUGGGCCCAUGUGACCGAAUGCAUCUUGAUUGACUUCGACACUCUGAAAUCUUCAUUCCUAAAACCAAACAAAAGCGGGGAAAACCUCUAUAAAAAAUGUGCUAGCUUGAAAGGCACGUACUGUACUUUCCCCAUUUUAAAUUAUAGCUCACUUUGCUCUCUUCUUCUAAGUCCAGCUACUCAAACUUUUGGCCAAUUUUUUUAAAAAAUAUAGAACAUCUAUAGAAUAAAACGAAUGCACCACCAAAAUAUAUUUCCUAGUAAAUUUAACAAAACUAAUUAGAUGUUGUAAGUGUUGGUGCUUUUCCCUAAGCACUUGGUCAAAAUUAGUGAAUUUUGGCUUACGACAAAGCUAAAGUAAACAAUGAUUUGAAACAGAGGACGUAGUACUUUGAGUUUGAUAUAUUUAUCAUUUAGCAUAUGAGAAACUUUCAAGAACAAACUAUAAUUACUGAGAAACUUUGAAAAACUAUAACUACUUUGAUAUAAAUAUCACUUAAUAGCAAUAGAUUUUUAAACACGUGCAUUUUUUUGCAAAUAUUCAAUCAGACAUGAAUCCUUAUAUUUGUCCUUUUCAUUAUCGAGACUAAAGAAGAUUGCGUCUCAAUUUUUUCUUUUGGAGAACUUUUCCUUCAUCGUCUAGUUUUCUACUAGUACUUGAGGAAUAUCAUCACAGUAGGGUUCAUCCAUUCUAAAAUUGGUUACCCUCCCCGCCUCCGGAAAGCCAAACAAAAACUUAUAGUAUUUAGUAUUUACUAUCUAGUUAUAUACUUCUUAGGUUCGGCAUCCCCUAAAUGGUUCCUUCUUCAUGUUCUAAUUGGAUCUUUUUUCCUUCCUACAUUUCCCAUUUGCUACCAAUGAAAGUAUAUAGUAUUAUCGCCCCCUUUAAGCACACAUUUCAUUUUUUUCUCAUUAUGUAUUCCUUUGAUUGUAGCCGUGCUAAUCUUUCAUUCAAGCAAUGUUUCAUAUUUACUUCAUUAGGGUUUAAAAUGUUCGUUUUCGCUUUCUUGUAUAGGUCAUAACUCUUUAUUUAUCUUUUUUUACGUGACACUCACGGUCUUAGUGUGUCCCAUCAGAUAGCAUCUCAAACAUACUGCAACUUUUCCAAGGGCAAAUAAUUAAAUUUACCUCCAUCCAUAUUUCUCCGACCAAAUAAAAAAAAGCCUCUCUUAAGAACCAACCAAGGUUUCUUGUGAUAUAUGUUUGAAAAGUAGUUGUUCUAUGAUAGAGAUGUUAAAAUAGGUCUCUAAUUUUUUAUAAAUUUUAUUACUCUUAAUAUAUAUUAAUAGGAUCACAAGUUUUUCUGUGUGGCAAAGCUGGGUACUUUUAUUGGUGCUAUUGGUCAAAAGUUUUUUUUUUGCGAAUGAAAAUUUUGAAAGAUCGAUGAGGUGUUCGUGAGGAAAAAUAUCCAUUUUGGAUCCAAUGCACCACAUGGUAAACCUAAAUGACAAUUAAGAAUGGCCGUAUCAUUUCUCCAAUCUCCAUCCUUGUGCCUUUCGUCCAUUAACACAAGGCUGCGCGUCCUUGUCUGCUUCGAUCGGCGGCGCCGUGCAUCACGUUUCAGUUUAGGGACAGAAGGCAAAUUCUUCACCCGCCUCAGUACGAUCUGUACUACGAGCGUCCAGGAGCACCAGCAGCUGAGAUAUUUUCUGUGUUUUGCCAGUUGUCCUUUUAACCAGAUGAUGGGGGGACACGGCCGUGGAUAUUUCUAGCUGCUGCAUGCACUUCUGUCAACUGUGCUCGAGCGGGUCUGGCCUGUCGUGGACCAGCAACAAGAUGGUUAUUUCUGAUGCCGGGUGUUUGAUUCCACGGACUAAAAUUUAGUUCAUGUCACAUCGAAUAUUUAGAUAUUAAUUAGAAGUAUUAAAUAUAAACUAAUUACAAAACCAAUUGCACAGAUAGAGGCUAAUUCACGAGAUGAAUCUAUUAAGCCUAAUUAAUUUAUAAUUAGCACAUAUUUACGGUAUCAUCACAUUAUCAAAUCAUGAACUAAUUAGGCUUAAUAGAUUCGUCUCGCGAAUUAGCCUCCAUCUGUGCAAUUGGUUUUAUAAUUAGCUCAUAUUUAGUCCUUCUAAUUAGUAUCUAAAUAAAUAUGGCAGGGGCUAAAUUAUAAUCCGUGGAACCCAACACCCUUAAUGGAAUUGGAAUGUGAUCCUGAAAACUUGCAUGUGCACCAUAGGCACGUCCUGGUCCUGCGCUAGGAGGAAUGCAAGCGAACGCCAUGAAUCGUUUCUUGCUGUUGGCUUUGUGACCAGGAAGCUUCUUCUCUGGUCAGCUUUGCUUGAAAAUUGAAAUGCAGCAGUUCAAGCAACGAUAUCACUAGCCAAAAGCCCAAAUGUGUAGUGGCACUGAAUACAAAAUCAGCAAAAUCUGAGAUCAAAUCAUAUAUGAAUUAACUAGGCUAGGUGACUAAUAUAAAGAUUAGUCAACAAAACAACCUAAUUAAAAACCACAACAUUUACUUCUAUUUGCACAAGUGUAGGGACUAGGGGACAAUGAAGUUAUGUUUCAAUCCCAAAGCGUGUCAAAAACAGAGUAUGUUUUCAAGUGAAAAGCAAACAUGCCAAGUAUUCCCUCCAUUUUAAAUUGUAGGUCGUUUGAGCUUUUCCAAAUAUAUAUAGUUUUCUCUACACGUCACAGAAUGCUAUUUCCAAUUGACGGGGUCUCUACACGUCAUGAAAUGCUAUUUCCAAUUGAUGGGGUUUUUUUGCGAAUCACACAGUACAGACGCAGACGCUCACAAACACGUACGCACACUCGCCCCUGCGAACACACGCACGCAACCCUACCCCUAUGAGCACCUCGGAAAGACUGAGCCGGCAAAUCCUCAAGACUGACACUAGCGCCUCGCUGUCGAUGGGCACGUCACCUCCUAUUGAAAGAAUAACGCCAGUUAAAUCCUGAAUAAAUCUAAAAAAAUACAAGCACUAACUCAAACCUAGUGUGCAGGUUCCACCACAAGGAACCUUACCAGCUGAGCUACGCUCAGUUCGCAAUUGGCGGUUAAAAUCUUUCAAUGGUAUUUUACGGAACGACAAGCUUUCCAUGGUAUUUCCUAUGUAGCGAUAUUUCAAUAUUAUGAAACUAAUUUUCUCUAUAUCUAAAUGUAUAACGAAAAUUAUAUAUUAAAUAAAUCAAAACGACCUAUAAUUUAAAUUUGGGAUGUAGGAAGUAUCGUAGGAACGAUGCGCAUAGGAAAUUUGGAGGCCAAGGCCACCCCUUGGUCACAACGAAGAUCUUCUAUUUCCCCGUAUCUCAGCCGAAGAAGUUGGACUUGAUAAUUUACACGGACCUCCCGGUUCCCAAGCAAAGCUUACAUCAGUACUCGGGUUUUCAAAAACAAAAUGCAAGCACGUGUUUUGUGCGCCCACAAAGUUAGCCGCCAACGGCGGGUCAUCCACUGUGCCGUCCGUGCAAGUCAGCAAGCGCGUCUCUCUCCGUCUCUCGGGAGUCGGGAUGGGUAGUCAAGGAAACGUAUUACGGCGGUAACCGAAGACCUGCAGGCCUAUCGUCAGUUGGUAGUAGCCAGUAGCCUGUAUAGCGUGGAAUCCAGAGGCCAAAGGAAAACCGCGUUCGGCGUCACCGGCUCACCGCGGAGCGCGAAGCUUUACCUCGCGCUCCGGGCAGACCCGCUGUCCACUGGUCCUUCUUCACCGGAAUCGACGCGGCACCGGAGAUUGGAUAGAGGCGGAAGGACGUACGCAGCGGUGCGGCCGUACCGGGCCGCCGGACAGACAGGGAUGCAUGCGGAAUCGGGCGUUGUCGCCGGGGACGGGAUGGGCACCGGGCACGGGACGGCGGGGACGCCACAGGUGUACGGCGACGCGAUCGGCAUGGCGAGGCGUGCGGGGACGGCAACGGGGGCGAGUGGGCGCGCGCGGCUUGUCGCCGAGUAGGACCGGUGGUUGCUGGCGUGCUUUCUCUUCAGUGGCUCGUGCAUCGUGCUCCGGGGGGUCUGAGGCCCGGCCAAACUCGUGCGCUAUUUGCCGGCUGCCGGUUCCGUCCGUCCCAGAUCUUGCAGGGUACUACUACAGGAGCAGCAGGACUGCGGCCUGAGGGGGAAAUGAUAAAGGAGUGGUCCAUCGGCUGCAGUCGGCAGGAUUUUGUUCCAGCACGUUUUACACUCUCGAGUCUCGACGGGGCUGUUCUUUCAGCUAAGGACGCGGCACCAGAUCCGAAAUCGCACUGUCUUUCCUGCCUCUGAGUAAAGCUUAUCGGGGUGUUUGUUUCUUUAGUCGCUCCUAAAAUUUCUAUCACAUCGAAUAUUUAGAUACUAAUUAGAAGUAUUAAAUAUAGAUUAAUUAUAAAACUAAUUUCACAGAUGGAGACUAAUUUGCGAGACGAAUCUAUUAAGCCUAAUUAGUUCAUGAUUUGACAAUGUGAUGCUGCAGUAACCAUGUGCUAAUAAUGGAUUAAUUAGGCUUAAUAGAUUCGUCUCGUGAAUUAGCCUCCAUCGGUGUAAUUAGUUUUAUAAUUAGCUCAUAUUUAGUCCUCCUAAUUAGUCUCCGAAUAUUUGAUGUGACAUAAAUUUUAGGAGGUCCUAAAGAUCCAAACACCCCCAAAAUCAGGUACAGUUUGGCUGCUGAAACGUGCCUCGUUUUCGAAUGGCACUUUUCUCUGUGUACUUAUGCGAGGAUUAAGGGGACUGAUUUUACAGUGCGGAACCAUUUGAAGGUAUUACUAGUUCCCUUUUCCUCCUUUUCUUUUAUGAAACGACUCAAGCUGAAUUUAGAAGAUUUAGAAAAGCGCACUUAUACAGGAAUACCACAGUACAUUACACCAUACAUGUUCAUUCAUAAAAUUAAAUGGUCCAAAUAUCUUUCACUGAGCAUACAAGUCUCCUCCACGACGGAGGAUCCAGCGCAAACAUACUACUCCUCCAUGAGAGCACAAACGGAAUGUCGAGAAUUGGGAAGGAACGUGCACUGCCGAACGUUCCGUAACAUAUAACGAGCUAGGCAACCAUCCGUUGCAACAUAACACGGUCACGGUCACAGUCACAGACCGAAACAGCGAAACUGCUGUGAGCAUAUCAGCUCCAGCAGCAAACAAUAAUCUUGCAAACGAACGGGGGGGCCUAUGGCUCUAUGCAUGUAAGCCGGCGGGCAAGUAGGAUCACCACCAGCUGAACAAUAUUCCUAACUUCACUUCACUAGCAGUAACCGACGGUAAAUUAUUCUUUUCCCUUAACCUGAUCGAAGCUACGACGAGCACCAUCCGUGAAUCUGAGAAUCUCUACUGAUUGACGUCCAGCCAAGCUCAGAUCUCCUGCUUCACUGCCACUUCUUGGCCCAGCCCCAGCCAAGAUUUCUUCUCUCCAGUCGCUUGCUUGGACGCAUCGACACCAACAGGGCUGUUGACUUGGUAUGGCGCCUUUGCAGUUAUCCUGGAAUUCAGGAGCACAAAAAGAAAAUGUCAGGAUCCUAAGCAAACUUAAUUGGCAAUUCUGAGCGCAGCUACGUAUUUCCAACGCUGAGAAUUAUAAAAGCAUGCCUCAAAAAAAAAGAAUUAUAAAAGCAACUUGGUUACCUGCCCUUUCUCUUCUCAAGGAACCUAUGGAGUGAAUUCCUCCUCGCAAUCGGCAUGUCUGUUAGCAAAACCCAAACACUUCUGUCACCGUCAAGCUUGCGUAACAAAGUUCAUGAAUCCGUCAACAAGUUACCAAAGUCGUAGCACUACCCUGCCGUGGCAGAACUGCAAGAGGGGGAGGUAGAAUUACCAGAGAGACUGUUCUGUGAAGGCUGUGGUGCAGCGGUGUCGCCGGCCCUGUCGCCGCCGGCGUUCACGAUCUGCAGCAAGUCCUUGACCUUGGUAGAGGGGAACUUGUCAAAGACGACCACUUUUCCCCCGUAGAAGAUUGUCAGCUGUUGCGCCUCCUCCUCCCUACAAGGAUCAAAAGGUUGAUACCAUAAUCAUUACUAAAUCACCUUCGGCAAGAACAAUGUCUUUGGCAAAGACAGGCCAAAAUUGUUAUUUUUUAGCUGAAUUUGCUCUUUCUUGUUGGGAGGGAGGACUGAACACGAUUGCUCCUGCAUUUUCUUUCAACUGAAGGAACGGUUCUGCUUUCUUC
rnacentral:lncRNA from 1 species